rnacentral:rRNA from 1 species
GGGUGAGUAACAUAUCGGAACGUACCCAGUAAUGGGGGAUAACUAGUCGAAAGAUUAGCUAAUACCGCAUACGCCCUGAGGGGGAAAGCGGGGGACCGUAGGGCCUCGCGUUAUUGGAGCGGCCGAUAUCUGAUUAGCUAGUUGGUGGGGUAAAGGCCUACCAAGGCGACGAUCAGUAGCUGGUCUGAGAGGAUGAUCAGCCACGCUGGAACUGAGACACGGUCCAGACUCCUACGGGAGGCAGCAGUGGGGAAUCUUGGACAAUGGGCGCAAGCCUGAUCCAGCCAUUCCGCGUGAGUGAAGAAGGC